CGAAGAGGCCUGCAGACAGCCCCGUGCAUCUCCAAAGCCGCUACCAGGAGAGCACCAAAAUUCUCCCAAGAUGAAGGGCUUCUGCUUCCUCCUGCUCACCAUCAGCCUCCUGGUUAUGAUGCAGAUACAAACUGUAGUCUUGGGCUCAGGAAACCAGACCAUCCACAUAAGUGGGGCCCCAGCACUCAGCGCCACGGGCGGUGGCAGUUUCCUUUUCUUCUUGGCCAACAUCCUCAUCUACUUCUUCUGCCUCAGCUGAAGUGACACACCUCAGCACUAGCCCUGUGUCCCCUGAAACAGCUGCUACCAUCACUAGCCAGAGAACGCCUUCCUAAUCCUUGGAAGAGGUUGAUGCCAGAGAUCACCAGCUUGUAGAAACUGAUAGUGCCAUGGGGGCAAUAGCCAAGUUGGGGAGGUCCUGAUGUGGCAGGGAAAGCACCACCCAGCUGGGAGUCAAUAAAGCUAUUCUUGUAUCUGGA